rnacentral:rRNA from 1 species
CGAUUGCAGUAGGGAAUAUUGGUCAAUGGAUGGAAGUCUGAACCAGCCAUGCCGCGUGCAGGAAGAAGGCCUUCUGGGUUGUAAACUGCUUUUGCCAGGGGAUAAAAUGACCUUGCGAGGUUAAUUGAAGGUACCUGGUGAAUAAGCCACGGCUAACUACGUGCCAGCAGCCGCGGUAAUACGUAGGUGGCAAGCGUUGUCCGGAUUUAUUGGGUUUAAAGGGUGCGUAGGCGGUCUAUUAAGUCAGUGGUGAAAUACUCUAGCUCAACUAGAGGGGUGCCAUUGAUACUGAUGGACUUGAGUACAGAUGAGGU